GCUACUCAAAUCUUCACACACCUCUUCGUGGUGAGCAGCAGGCAACGGUCUUAUGACUGGCUGAGAUGUGAAG
rnacentral:ribozyme from 1 species